UGGGGAAUAUUGGGCAAUGGGCGAAAGCCUGACCCAGCAACGCCGCGUGAAGUAUGAAGGCCUUCGGGUUGUAAACUUCUUUGAUCAGGGAAGAAACAAAUGACGGUACCUGAAAAACAAGCCACGGCUAACUACGUGCCAGCAGCCGCGGUAAUACGUAGGUGGCGAGCGUUAUCCGGAUUUACUGGGUGUAAAGGGCGUGCAGGCGGGCUGAUAAGUCAGAUGUGAAAUCCCCGAGCUUAACUCGGGAACUGCAUCUGAUACUGUUGGUCUUGAGUGCUGGAGAGGAUAGUGGAAUUCCUAGUGUAGCGGUAAAAUGCGUAGAUAUUAGGAGGAACACCGGUGGCGAAGGCGGCUACCUGGACAGUAACUGACGCUGAGGCGCGAAAGCGUGGGGAGCAAACAGG
rnacentral:rRNA from 1 species